CUAGGAAAGAGGCUGCCUGAUCCAGCAACCCUGAUAAGGCUCAAUAGCUACCUGUGGCUACCGGCUUCUGUAUCAGCCAGAACGGCUCUCGCGACUGCAUCUUCAAGAAACAUUGAUAAAGACUGGCCUAAGCACUCUCCUGGCU